UCCUCCGUGGCGCAAUUGGCUAGCGCGUCUGACUGUUACGGGAGUCCUCUGGGCUCCCACUGCAAUCAGGAGGUUGACAGUUCAAGCCUGUCCGGGGGAG
rnacentral:tRNA from 1 species